GGGAAUAUGGCUUAGAGGUAGAGAGCUUGCCUGGAAUGCAUGAAGCCCUGGGUUCAAUCCCUCAGUACCA
rnacentral:tRNA from 1 species